CUACACUAACUGCAUACCCUGAGCUGAGGGCUUUUCAUCUCACUGCUUGUGGAGAUGCUGCGAUGAACACUUUUUGGUUCACUUUUAUCACUCCAUCUCCUGUCUCCUGCUCUGAGUAAGCAAUCUACGUUUUUGUGCAGCCUCUGGCCACAGGCGGGCUCAUGGAGGUGUGUCUGCUGGCAGAGGCUCCCAGGAGCUCAGUGCUCCUCAGG